UCAUCCGUCAAGUGUCAACUGGUGUCAACAUUUUAUUUUUACUGCCGUUUGAGUGGGUGAUUUUUAGUAUUACAAUAAAUAAAAAAAUCAUGUGCAUGAGCAUGCGCUGCCACGCAGAUGGAAAGUGACGUGGCAAAAAGUUUGGAGCAUAGAACUUCAUGGGACAGGGGCACCAAACGUUCUCCCCUCGCCGUAAGCAUUCAGGGCCUCCGUCGGUGCUGGAGUUACAAUGUUCAUACACGUGUCGCGCAUAACCUAGACGGCGCGCAUUGGCGGUGGUAGGUCAUUCCAGCACCGCGUGGCUGCGAAUCUAAAGGAUCCCCUGAAAGCCACAGUUCGAUGUUGAGGAGUGAGAAAGCUCAACAUAUUGCCGCCUUCUGGACAGAUAACUAUGAAACCAACGGACAGUACCUGGGUCGAGACCAUAAUAGCUCAUCUUGGACAGCAGCAAGGGUAUAUUAAUUGAAUCGAAGGCCCUAGAGAAAUCAAGCAGCAGUAGCAAGGUGACCUUCCCCUGGUCCUGUGCAGCCAGGAUAUUAUCAACAACAUCUGCCAAGGCGGUUGCCGUCCCACAGCCUCGCCGGAAACCUGAUUGAUAGUGUGGAAGCAUAUUGUUUUCUUCAAGAUAUUUAGUUAGCUGAUCACACACUAUCCUCUCAAGCACCUUGGAGAGGCAUGGGAGGAUACUUAUCGGCCUGAGAUCGCACAAUGAUGUUGGGUGGUUAUUCUUCGGAAUUGGUUUUAUAAGUGCUAUUUUCCAACUAUCAGGAAAUUUAUUGUCAAGGAUGGAUCGGUUGACUAUUGCAGUAAUGGCGUCCAGUGAAUGCGGCAGAGUAAGCAACAGCAUGUCAAGUGACAGGCCAUCAUGCCCCUGAGCAUUAGAUUUGAGUCCAUUGAUAGUUUUCAAGACUACUUCUGGACUGACAGUCCGUAAUGAGAAAUGUGCAGAGCUACAGUGCCUAUGGUGUUCAAAGAAAGUGAGCUGUGACAUUGACACACCAUCAGCACCUGGCACAUCCAAGAAAUGUAAAUUUGUUUGGUGUGCGUCAUUGAACAUGGAAGAGCUGGGGUUCUGUGCCGCUUGUACUGAGCAUGAAGCCUAUCCCUUAUGCCCAUCAUUGACUUGAUUGUGUCGGUAAUCCACGGAUGAGGUGGAUGCCUGAACUUUCGAGUUUUGAUUGGGGCAUGCAGGUCAAACAGACCAACAAUACAGAAGGUGAAGGCCUCAACCAAUUGGUCAACAUUGAGAAUAUGGUCGAAGUUCUGCCAGCUAAUUGCCUCAAGUUCAGUCAGCUUGAUGGAAUGCCAAACACUCUUUCAAGAUCUUCCAUCGAUCGGAGCUGGUAGAUUUGAGCGCCAUCGCCCCUGCGCACGAGCACACGGCCCCGCCUCGUCCAGCAGUACCGCCAUUGUGACCUACGGCACUCCUCGCGCGCCCGGUGGAAGAGCAGGCGGUUGGGGCGAGUCAACCUUUCGUUGACGUAGACCCUGCCGCCACCGUC